rnacentral:rRNA from 1 species
GAGUUUGAUCGUGGCUCAGGAUGAACGCUGGCGGCGUGCCUAAUACAUGCAAGUCGAGCGAACAGAUAAGGAGCUUGCUCCUUUGACGUUAGCGGCGGACGGGUGAGUAACACGUGGAUAACCUACCUAUAAGACUGGGAUAACUUCGGGAAACCGGAGCUAAUACCGGAUAACAUAUUGAACCGCAUGGUUCAAUAGUGAAAGGCGGCUUUGCUGUCACUUAUAGAUGGAUCCGCGCCGUAUUAGCUAGUUGGUAAGGUAACGGCUUACCAAGGCAACGAUACGUAGCCGACCUGAGAGGGUGAUCGGCCACACUGGAACUGAGACACGGUCCAGACUCCUACGGGAGGCAGCAGUAGGGAAUCUUCCGCAAUGGGCGAAAGCCUGACGGAGCAACGCCGCGUGAGUGAUGAAGGUCUUCGGAUCGUAAAACUCUGUUAUCAGGGAAGAACAAAUGUGUAAGUAACUGUGCACAUCUUGACGGUACCUGAUCAGAAGCCACGGCUAACUACGUGCCA